rnacentral:rRNA from 1 species
UACGUAUGGGGCAAGCGUUAUCCGGAUUUACUGGGUGUAAAGGGAGCGUAGGUGGUUUGGCAAGUCAGAUGUGAAAGCCCGGGGCUCAACCCCGAUAGUGCAUUUGAAACUGCCAAACUAGAGUGCAGGAGAGGUAAGUGGAAUUCCUAGUGUAGCGGUGAAAUGCGUAGAUAUUAGGAGGAACACCAGUGGCGAAGGCGACUUACUGGACUGUAACUGACACUGAGGCUCGAAAGCGUGGGGAGCAAACAGG